GAGCAGCGCGGAGUCCGGACCUUUCUGAAGGGCGCUGUAACUAGAGGCGGUGCAGGGAGACAAUUCCUGGAAGCAGGCAGGGAAGUUGGUGGGCGGGGUUGUUUCGGGCAUUCGGGUGGGCGACCCGCAGAGGCGUCUGGAAGGCCCGCGUCUUUAGGGAGCCGGGAGCGUAGGAGCGGCGUCUCUGGUUACAGGGUCGGGCAAAGGGCAAAGGUCGGCCUCCAGUUUGGCGAGUCCCUGCUUCAGAGAAUGGCUGCGUCUGGGGGAUCCGGCAGGCAGUGGCAGGAGGAGGUGGCGGCGGUGGUAGUGGUGGGCUCCUGCAUGACCGACCUGGUCAGAGGCACACAGCGAGUCAGAAGUUUGCAGCCAGAAGAAGAAAGGAUGGCAUGCAAAAACCAAAAAACAAUAUAUUCCUUGACUCUUGGCUAGAGCGUGUAUUAGUAUGACCUCUUCGUUUGAAAGACUUAUCCCUGUUUAACCAGAUCAUUCCAUCGUUUGGUAUGAAUCAUCUCUGAGAAUCUGUAACAAGCACAUCAUUGUCAAGACGUUAAAAGCAAUUGAUAAGUUCUGAUAACGCCUGUCAGUGAAAGAACUCAGAGCACAGAACCCAGGCAUUGAAGGAGUUGACAAGUAUUAUUAAACCUAUUUUGCAAGAGAAGAAGCUGGUUCAAGGAGGGAAAAGCUGUCAAGGGUAAUAUAAUCAGUAAGUGGUUCAGGCCUCCUGCCUUGCACAACCAGGCUUUAACCACAACAGGGCUUCAUGGCCCUGAAGACUAUGGGGCCAUCUGUGAAUGUUUUAUCAGUGUUUCCUUCUGUCCAGUUUAAAAUGCGUGACAUUUUUAACACUACAAAUUUCUUCUAAAUUCAGAUAGGUUUCUUAUGAUUGGUUUUCUCUGGAUUUUCUCCCUCGUUCAGAAAUUUACACUAUUUUUAAUUUUUAAAUGGUAGCAAGAGUAUUUCUAUCAGUACUCCUUCCUCUUUUUUUCUUGCAACACUUUAAUUUCUUUGGCACCCUCUAAACUUCGUCUUUGAAUUGGGGUGAAUCAUAGCAAUGCUUUCAUUGAGGAGAUGACGCUCUGUGCAGGUCCUUUCAUGAACUCUGAUUUCAUGAUUUUAAUAAGGAAAAAGAUAGGAAAGCCUGAUUCAAAGUAAAUCUGGAUUUGUAAUUUGGAAAUGCUCCUGCCUGUUUGUAACUAACUUUCUAGUGGAUCUCCACUUCUACUUUCUGCUGUGUGAUUCAUUUACUUUAAAAAAAUAAAUAAGCAGUAAACUGUCUUUGUCUGGGUUCAAAAAAAAGAGUGUAAGACAAAGACUUCAGUGCACCUCUUCUAUGCAAGACUGUAAUGCAUGGAGUAAGAGCAAGGGUCAGGGAGGAGGCUGAAGCAGGGAGGCAGCAAGAGCCUGUGCAAGAGAUAAUUGGCGUGUUCAGCUGGUUGCUCAAUCCUGCAGGACAGCCUGAAGAACCAUAACCAAGGAACAGGAACUCGAGUAAGAAGAGCGGCAUCCGGCAAGGCUCUGUUAGGUCACACCUUCAAGAAGGCAGCUGAAGCCCAGGAAGAACUAGUGGCUGGAAAAAGAUAUGAGGGAGGCCAGAUAAGUCUGCAGUUGUAACAAGUGGCUUCCCAUCAUAAUAAAUAUACUCCUGUUGCCUAGACUUCCAAGCAUAAUUAAAUAAAAUAAAAUGUGAACUUCUACUCCUG